rnacentral:rRNA from 1 species
AUACGUAGGGGGCGAGCGUUGUCCGGAAUGAUUGGGCGUAAAGGGCGCGUAGGCGGCCUGUUAAGUCUGGAGUGAAAGUCCUGUUUUCAAGAUGGGAAUUGCUUUGGAUACUGAUGGGCUUGAGUGCAGGAGAGGUUAUCGGAAUUCCCGGUGUAGCGGUGAAAUGCGUAGAGAUCGGGAGGAACACCAGUGGCGAAGGCGGGUAACUGGACGGCAACUGACGCUGAGGCGCGAAAGUGUGGGGAGCAAACAGGAUUAGAUACCCUGGUAGUCCACACUGUAAACGAUGAAUGCUAGGUGUAAGAGGUAUCGACCCCUUUUGUGCCGGAGUUAACACAAUAAGCAUUCCGCCUGGGGAGUACGGCCGCAAGGUUGAAACUCAAAGGAAUUGACGGGG